CAUUCGUAGUAGAUACUUAUAUUAAUAAUAUAAUACACAAAAAUAAAGGUAUAUAAUCUAGUCAAUCUUAGUCAACAUUCAACAUAUUUACUCAGCCACUCAUCCAACCAUUUUAGUCUUGAGGCAGUUGCCUUCAAAAUAUCCAUUUUGUCAGGCCACUGCACGUAUGUUAUAUUUUACCGAUAGACAUAAACGUAACUAGAAUCUGAAAAUUUAUAGUGCUUUUGCACAAUAGGUUUUAGAAAUGAGCAUAUAAAGAUAUGGUAAAAGAUGGACAGUGCCUAUCCUUUGUAGUAUAUUUUGAAAACUCAACGUGUAAUAAGAAAUUGCAUUAUAAAUUAAAAAUGUAUGUACUCGCAAUUUCUUAUAAGUCGAUAGUUUAAGUACAUACCCAAUAUCAACCAACCCCCUCCUAUCGACUAUUAACACCAAUGCCAACAGAUAAUCAGUAACCGAAAACAGUAAACAUAGUUUUUAUUCAUUUGCUG